rnacentral:rRNA from 1 species
UACGUAGGGGGCAAGCGUUGUCCGGAUUUAUUGGGCGUAAAGAGCGUGUAGGCGGCCAGAUAGGUCCGUUGUGAAAACUCGAGGCUCAACCUCGAGACGCCGAUGGAAACCAUUUGGCUAGAGUCCGGAAGAGGAGAGUGGAAUUCCCGGUGUAGCGGUGAAAUGCGCAGAUAUCAGGAGGAACACCGGUGGCGAAGGCGGGUCUCUGGGCAACAACUGACGCUGAGGAGCGAAAGCGUGGGGAGCGAACAGG